GUGAGACACGGUGCCAGGGGCAUCGUGCCGUUCUUACAGCUCAGCUGGGCUGUCACUGCUCAGGACUUCUGACACCAAAGCAGGUGCCGUGCUCACUCUGGAUCUCACAGUAAUUCCUGGCCUUUUUCCUCUCCAGUUAAAGGCUCAUGCCACAUCAACAGCACUGAAAAGGAAGAGAUGCUUCCUGGAGAUGAGCUGCACUGCUGGAAGGAAAACACCGGCCUUGUGUUGAAGCUUCUGAUAGUUCCUAUGGCUCUCCUGCCCUGCAUCUGGCAAUCUCCAGCUCCAGAGCCACGACGAAGCCUGGAGAGAAGUGUGAAGGCUGAUUGGAGCCUCAAGCUGGUGACAGGUAACUGGGUGUUUCUCUGUGAAAGGAGUGGAAAUGGGAGGUAAGAGAGAGAACUCAUUUCCUGGAGAGAAUGUGGAUUCACUCAAGCCAUCAUGAGGUGACCGGGCAGGUGACAAGGAAAAGAAAGUUCCAUAAUGACACCUGAAUUAUUGCAUUGGAUUUUCCCCUGCACCUACGCACUGCUCUUUGGACCUGAAGGCAAAAUUCUCAUCCCCAACACCAAGCUAGAAGACUAAACUAAACUAGAAACUAAAAACAACAAAAAACAACACAAACAUGCAAAAUAAGACUUCAUACCCAGAUAACAAGUACAGCAGCAACCAUUGGCCCAGGAAACACACAGCUCAGCAGAGCUCAGCUGAUAUGCCCAAGCAGUGCAUUCAGCCAUUGCAUCAUUCCAUGUGUGGCAUUUUUGGAUCCAUGUGUUCCUGUGUCUUUUUGCAGCCUGCCAGCAACAUCCAGUAUUUCACAGUCCAACCUCUCACCCUUGUGAGACGUUCUCAUUCCUGGAUCCUUUGCAAGUCAUCCACCUGCAACAUCCCAUUCUGUUCGCUGUUCAAAGUCCCCUUGUUCUCCCUGAGAUCCACUGCACUGUGCUGAAAGCAGCAGUGAGCACAUUAACCAUAGAAGUUUGUCACUAAAAUAAAUUUUUUUAAAAGAGAGAUAAAUCUUAUGAGCACUGAGAGGACACUGGAGGGGAGAUCCUAGUAUUGAAAGUAUUCCCCUUCUCCAAGGAGCAGUAGCAAAGGUAUUUCUGGGUAACGAGCACUGAAAAAGCUGUUAAAAGACAAAAUGAGGUCCUGGUGCUGUCUCUGAUGCAGAGAGAUGUCAUGGAACCUGUGAGAUGCUCUGCCUCUUUGUGCACUGCACUGCCCACAUGCAUCACCCUGCUUCGUCAGCUCAGGAAAGCACUUCUGACCACACCUGCAACAAUCCCUGAGUCUGACAGCAUCAAAGUUCAUACAUAUUUGCAUUCAGCUAUAUGGCUAGCUGCAGCAGUGCUGCACCCGUGGGGAUAUUUUCCUGAACAACUGGAAGAUGGGGAAGGAAAAAAACAUCCUCUUGUCAUGUCAGUUCAUCUCACAGGCAGACAGAGCAGCCCUGGACCUGAAUGCAUGGUGGAACGUGCUGCCCAGGCAGGUGACAAGGCUGCUGUGGAUGGUUUGCCAGGCUUGUCUGGGCCCACAGCAUGCAGUUGGCAGAAUGUUGGCAGUUUGUAUAUCCUGUAUGUGAGCUGGAAAUAAUUGGUUUCAAAGCCAGCUUUGAAAGGGUGUGUAUGUCUGAGCUCAAAUUGUUAGCGUAUAGUUAUGCUAAAAACAUUCAAGUUUAAACAGAUAAUAUUCAGGGUACUGAAUAGAGAGAAGGAAGAAUCAAAGACAAGUGCCAGUACAAUGAUUCAACAGAGCACCUGGAAAAUAGACACUAUUGCUUUGCAGAUGACCACUGGAAAAAAGACCACGCAAAUAAUGCAUUCAGUGUAAUUAUCAUCACCAUGUAGUGUACAUCAAGGAAAUCUGUGAGCAGGGGGAGCACGGUUCUUCCAAGUUCUCAGAAAUUAAAUUCAACAUGUGAGGGACCUCUUGGCACAAUAGCAAUUCACCAGCUCACAGCCCUGACCAAGACAGCCAUUGUGAAUUACUUAAUUCUUGCAAAUUAGGAAGUGAAUAAACAUGACUCAAAAAUUCAAGUCACUUCACUGAAGAAAAAAAAAAUAGUUAUAAAGGCAGCACUCAGAUGCUCUGCUCUGUAGGCGCAGCCAGCUGAAUGGGAUCUUAAGGCUCCAAGGGCUCAUUUGGCUCAGCCCAAAACCAGCCAACACAUCCCUGCAAGGACACCAGACUUUCAAGGUGUUACUCUUAUGAGGAUGGUUUCUUUAAGACAGCAGUGAUGCAACUGCCUCUAAAAUAUGAU